CUGAUACCCAUAUAAUAUAUAUGAAUAUUUUUCAAGCGUGCAGUUCCAGUUCUGUAAGGACACUCUCUUUCAGGCUCCAUGCUAUAACUAUGCAACCGGGUCUUUCACGCCAUAUAGUUUCUUUCCCUGUCUAUCCAGUGCUUCCCUUGAUUCUCCUCAGACCAUUGUUCCCCCCUUCCCAGGUCACUUCCAUUUCUGACACCAAAUCAGAGUUACAGAGAGAGAAAGCUAAGGAGCUCACCCCAUGCCUUUAAAGCUAAGUCAAAGAUAUCUUUGUAUUUUAUCCUUGCCAGAGAAAGGGUACUCAGCAGCAUGGACCACUGGUCUGAACCAGUAUGGCCAUUUAUCCCUACUGGCUGAAACAUUAUCCACAUUUUGUUGGCACAACCCACUUGCUUCCACCUAGCCUGUAUUUUAUUAACCACUUAACAAGCAAGAUGUAGAGAUUCUUCCAUCCUGAAACUUCUCAAUCUUUAGGGGCUUUGGUGGGUUUUGCUGGCUUGGUGGUGGUGGUGUUUUUAACAGGUAUAGAUGAAAUACAUAUAUCAUAGAAUCAUUAAGGUUGGAAGAAAUCUUCAAGAUCAUCUGUUCCAUCCAUCCCACAACCACCAAUGUUACUCACUAAACCAUGUCCCUAAAUACCAUGGCCAACCUUUUCUUAAACACCCCCAGGGACAGUGAUUCCACCACCUCCCUUGGCAACCUGACCCAAUGCAUAACCACACUUUCUGAGAAGAAAUUUCUCCUCAUUUCCAACCUAAACCUCCCCUGGCACAACUUGAGGCCAUUUCCUCUUGUCCUAUCACUAGUUACCUGUGAGAAGAGGCCGACCCCCAGCUCCCCACACCUUCCUUUCAGGCAGUUGCAGAGAGCAAUAAGGUCUCCCCUGAGCCUCCUUCUUCUCCAGACCAAACACCCCCAGCUCCCUCAUCCACUCCUCACAGGACUUGUGUUCCAGGCCCUUCACCAGCUUCGUAGCCCUGCUCUGGACAUGCUCCAGGGCCUCGAUGUCCUUCUUGUAGUGAGGGGCCCAAAGCUGAACACAGCGCUGGAGGUGCGGCCUCACCAGAGCAGAGCACAGGGGGACGAUCACCUCCCUGCUCCUGCUGGCUGCACUAUUCCUGAUACAAGCCCCAUCAUGGUCAGAAGAAUAAGAUGGCUCUGUUCCUGCCACCUGUACAAUAAAUACCUGAGCAAGAUCAUAAGUAUACAGAUACACAGGACAAUGCAACAUAUGAGCCAGGAAAGGAGAAGAGUACAAAGGUAAGCAUGACUUUCAAGCUCAAGGGGGAUUGGUG
rnacentral:lncRNA from 1 species